GAACGAAAUGAUGAGUAAUUUAUUUCCCUAUUGGUUUGAAAGCCGUAAUGAUGGCGAAAAUCAGUAUUAGCUCUAGCUGAUCGUUC